AAGGCUGUCUCGACACGUGCGACAUGGAGUCACCCUGGUCAGUGGGAUAGUUUUACAGAUAACGUUUUGAAGUUUUGGAUGCCUGUGUGCUGCUGCUCUGCGGCCAAGAGACCUGGGGGUGUGGAUGCCCCCAGUCGGGGGGGUGCGGACGGACACCUAUCCGGAAGAAGACAUCCCUGGGGGGUGGGGGGGCUGGUGGCUGCAGGACGUCUGCGGCCGGAUAAGGGUCUGUCCCCAGCACAGCUGGACGAGCUGCUCGGGAGUGCCAGAUGACCUGUCAUCCGGGAGAAGGGGUGCAGAGCGACGGUCAAGCCCAGAGCAGCGGGGGUGGGCAGUUCACGCCCCCCAGCGUGGUCAGGGUGUGUGGGUGGUGUCAUGCAAAGAGUGACAGUGAAUGGCAGCCACGUGAGAGAGUCCCAGCUGGGCAGUUCGGCCACCCCAGACCGACGGGGUCACGGGGGCGGGUGUGUGUGUGUGUGGGGGGGGAAGGCCCUGCACUUGACACAAAAGAGCCCGGGGCAGAGAGGACGAGGGUGGGGCCGGGGGCAUGGGCUCCCCAGACACUCUCCCGUCCCCCCCUCCUCGGCAGUGACCCCAGAUCUCGCCGGCCAGCUGCGGGGGGGGGGGGGGGGAGCGGAGGGCAGGUCCCGGCCAGCCUUACUCCAGGAAGUGGUCUGCGUGGAGCGGGGGUCCCCCACCGGCCCCGAGUCCUCAGCCGCGCUGCCCACACGCACACGCCCCCCUCCCCCGCGUGCCGCCACCGCGCGCCCCGGAGUUGGCGGGCACCGAAGUCCCCCUGGCAGUGUCCAUCUCUUCCUCCAUGAUCUUCCGAUAAAGUAGAAGAAACUGAGGCACUGGGGCAAAGUAGCGGACCGAGAAGCAGAGAGGUAGGAGUGCGCCCAGGCCUUCUCACCAAACUGGCUGACCCGGGAUUUCCAACCGGAUCCCAGUGUUUAUCUUCAGGUUGGACCAGGGGUCAGAAGGCCAGUGGACAAGGAGUCCAGAAGUAAGUUUGGCUUAUAGAGAUUUGACAGAGCCGAGAAUGGAACUUGCCAAGAAGCAGGGCAGGUAGCCCGGGGGCUUCUCUCUCUUCUCUCUGCCCCGUCUGUGCUGCCUCCUAGCCCUGGCCUCUGGAGAAGCAUCUCCUGAGUCAUUUCUCUACUGCCCCUCAGCUUUGCACUGUGCACAAGGACCCCAAGAAGAAGGUAGGCAACAACCCAAAAAGUAUCGGUGACAGAGAAAUCGUCCACAAAUGUUUGUUUGCAAUGCUAAAGUGUUAAUCAAUGGUCUACUCCCUGCCCCCCCUCACACACACACACACACACACACACACACACACACACACACACACACGCACACUAGCACUUUAUUGAACAUUGGUUUCUGUCUUUUUUCUUUCUUUCUUUUUUUUUUUAAGUGGAAUUCUCUUGCUAUGGGCCCAUAUUGUCCCGGCCCAUCCUCUCUCAAUCUCGGUACUAGUCUGAGUGGGUAUCCCUUCUUUCUGUGUGUGGGCUCCUCUCUAAGUGUGCUCUAUUCAUCACUGAGACUCUCUUGUACCUUUGACUCGAAGGGCGUCAUCCUUUCUAAGAGACUCUCCAUCUCUGGCUCCUGUUUACCUCUCUCUUCCAGCCUGAGAAUGCACGUGGGUCCUCCUGUAUGCCUGACCAGUACUGAGAAGGAUGUCCACACAGCAUGUGGCAGCAGUCUCCCGGGCUAGGCCCCUCUGCCUGCCUGACAUAUGUGUCCUGUGCAGCAGGUGUGAGUGUCUGAAGGGGCCGAUGGGCCUCCCCGUGCAGGCCUGCGGCCUCUGCUCUCCACCACUGGGCUUGCUCCUCGGCCCAGCUCCUUUCCUGGGUUCCCACCCCCUCUCCUCUGCCUGUCAGCACUUGCUCCUGCUCUUUUUGCUUCCUAGUGACCUCUGGAUCUGUCUUCUCACCUUGCCUCCGCCUGCCUCUCUACCUGCUCACUUCUGUUAUGGUGUUGCCUGCCUGCCUGUCUGUUCCUCCCUCACUGGCUGGCAGCUUCUUUCUCUCCCUGGUUGUCUGUCUGCUUCUCUGGCUGUUUGCCCACCACUCUCUCUCUAGCCAUCUGUCUGCCCGCCUGCCUGUCUCUGUCACUUUUAAAGCCUGAAUCUCUUGGUUUGUCUACCUUCCAGGACUGGCCACAGUUGCCCACAAUGGUCUGCCUCUCGCCUCGACCUUCUUGUUUCGGCUCCCGUGUCUCUGCUAAGUCCAUCACUUUUCUCCCCCUCUUUGGAGCUGUGUCCUCUCGCCUGUCUGUCAUGCUGUCCGCUGCUCUCCCACUGUUUAAUGUUUGUUUCAUUUCUUUCUACUUAUCAGCUUUUUCUCCCUUGGCUUCCAAGGGUGGUGUCAACAACCUACCAAGGGUCAGUUUCUCUCCCCAGGCCUUUCGGUCCUCUCUGGCCUUAAAGUCUCAUCAGCAUUCACAGCGGAUUCCUUCUCGCCUUCUUUCCCACCUUCUUUCCCGUCUCCUUUUUAAUUAUCUCUUCCUACCUUGCUUGCCUUCCCAGGCAGUCUGCCUCCUCAGUCUUUUUGUUGGUUUCCCAGUCUCUGUGUUCCUGGCUUUUUGCUGUUUGCUUGGCAGGUUCUGGCUGUCCACAUCUCGGCUUGCUUUUCUUUCUUCUUGUUUGUUUUAGGUAUUUAUCUCCAGUCAGCUUUCAGAUAGACACAAACAUGGUCUGAAAUUCUAAAAGUAAGAAACCUAUACUAUAAAAAGUCGGUCUCGGGGCUAGAGAGACAGCUUAGUAAUUAAGAGCAUUGGCUGCUCCUCCAGAGGACCCGGGUUUGGUUCCCAGUACUGUCACAGUGGCUGACAAACAUCUGUAACUCCACUUUCAGGGAAUACAACGCCCUCUUCUGGUGUCUAUGGGUACUGCACACAUGAUAUACAUACAGGGAGAUAAGAUACCCAUAUACAUAAAAAAUAAAAAUUAGGGGCUGGAGAGAGACGGCUCAGCUGUCAAAAGCUCUUGUUGUUCUUGCAGAGGACUUGGGUUUGGUUCCCAGCACCCACAUGGUAGCUCACAACCACCCUUCUGUAACUCCAGUUCCAGAGAAUUCGAUACCCACUUCUGACCACCAAGAGUACUGGGCACACAUGUGAUACACAUACACACAUGUAAUACACAUAUACACAUGCAGCAAAAUCACUCAUAUACAUCAAAUAAAUAGAUGCUUUUUAAAAAUAAAACUUUUAAUGAAGAAAAAAAAGUAAGUCUCCAUCUGUCCUUCUCUUCCAGGCCCAGAAUUCCUCUUCCAAGAGUCGGUCACUAUUACCCUUUUCAGAUGCCACUCCAGGGAAGGCCACACAUAUGAACCCGCGUCACUCUCCUGCACACAGAUACUCCCAUCCCUCUUUGCUGUGUUUCUCCUCGCCUCUCUCCCAGGUUCGCUGGGUCCUCUUGUCACUCGUCAGCUCGUCAGUACUGCCUGACUUUGCUGGGCUCACCACCUCUUCCCUCCUGUCUUUCUGAUUCUACUUUUUUGUUAAAGGCUUAUUUAUUUAUUAUUUUGUAUACAGUGUUCUGCCUGCCUGUAUGUCUGCAUGCCAGAAGAGGGUACCAGAUCCCAAUAUAAACGAUUGUGAGCCACCAUGUGGGUGCUGGGAAUUGAACUCAGGACCCCUGGAAGAGCAGCCAAUACUCUUACCUGCUGAGCCGUCUCUCCAGCCCCCUGAUUCUACUUUGUAGGUGUGACAGGGACAGGUGUCAUCUUUUUAAUUGACUGGUGGCUCUUUGCUUGCUUUUACUACCAAAGCAGUGCUUAGGAAGGGCUUACUCUCGGCUGAUCUGUUCUGUUCCGCCUGAUGAGUUAUCUGGAUGGCAGCACACCCUUGUCUCUUCACUACAGUGUGUGUUUUGAAGACAUGCCCACACACACUGGAAGUGCUGAACUGCCGCGCCAAUGCAGGUGGACUUCGUAAGUGCAGUCAGGGGGUGAACUGUGCUCAUGUGCACAUAAAGUAGGUAGAUGCCUGCUUGCUGUUCUUGUCUAGGCUUACAUGUCCAAUCUUUUCUUUUUUAGGGAGACAAAAUCUAACUAUGUAGCCCAGGCUGGCUUUGACUUGAAGAUCUUCCUGAGCCUCCCAAGCACACAUCUGUAGGCAUGCCCCACUAUGCCUAGGCCUAUGUGGAUUCUUCUAGAGGCCUGUGACUCUGGAUUCUUUGGGGUUGUUGACUUAGGUCUGUCCCAGACGUUUGCCUUCUUCCUUAUCUACAAAAUGUGUUCUUUAUCAAAACUUCUCCCCCAACCCUACCUCAGACCCUUUCUUCUAGCUCCUGUCCAUGCUCUUAGAGUCAAAGACUCAGCGGGUAACCAGGUCUCUUUGAGAAGAUGAUAAGAUUUCUCCAUACAGUGUACACAGUUGUUUCGUUUUGCUUCUUAAAUGGCCUGUGUUCCUGAAUUUAAAACUCUUUCGGCCUCUCUCGCUUCUUGGUUCUUUCACGUGUCUGUCUUCCUCUCUGUUUCAGCCUUUCCUGACUGACUCCCUCCCUGCCCUUCUAGCUGCCUGGCCUGUAUCCCAUCCCGUCUGUCCGUCUGUUGGGUUCUCCGUUUGCCUGCAGUCAUGCGUGUUCCAGCACUUGGUGAAGUGCGAGGCACGUGUUUAUAGAAGACAGUCCUCUGUCUCCUUUCACCUCUCUUCCGUCACCUGCCUCAUUCUCUCUUGGUCUUUGCUUGACGGCGUUUGUCUUAGAAGUACUGCCUACUUCUCAGAGUCAUUCUUCUUUUUCCUUGCCAGCCUGCUUUCCUGACAUGCUCUGUCUGCUCAGUUCUUGACUCUCCGUCUGUCUGUCCGUCCGUGUGAACAGGUUCCUCUGGAUGUCUUCUCUCUGUUUGUUCUCUCUGUCCUUCGGCCUUUUAUCUGUGCCUGUAUGCUUCUCUGUCUCCAGACGCCUGUCCCUGCCGUCAAGUUCAGUGUGGGCAUCAGUGCUCUCUUCCUGUAUUUCCAGAAAUUAGAAAGGUUGGAAUCCUUGUAACUAAUCCGGGGAGACUGUUUCUUUAUUUAGAAGGGUGCACAGGUGAGAAUGAGGACUAUAUGGACAUGCAGUCACCAAUGUAUACUAGAAGCCGCUGGAACUUCCCAAUGUAAAAUAAAGAACACGGAAAAGCAUUGAGGGAACCCCCAGGCGAGGAGUGAAAUCAUCUAAAGCAAAACCAAGAAAUGUAUCUAAAGCAGUAGUUACAAAGCCUUCAGAUUAUAGAAAGUUAUAAACUAUUUGGCUAGAAAAAGACAGACACUCUUUCAAGGGGAGAGAAGAAGAUCUGGCUCUAUGCAGACAAGCCGACAAGCUUCAUCGUAGACCUUUAUGUGCUGGGCUGAGGAGAUAGUUCAGGGGGAAACUGCUUGUCACACGAGCAUGAGGACAGAGUGCCAUCUCCAGCACCCACUUAAAAGUCAGUGUGUGCCGGGCGGUGGUGGCGCACGCCUUUAAUCCCAGCACUCGGGAGGCAGAGCCAGGCAGAUCUCUGUGAAUUCGAGGCCAGCCUGGGCUACCAAGCGAGUUCCAGGAAAAGGCGCAAAGCUACACAGAGAAACCCUGUCUCGAAAAACAAAAAAGAAAAAAAAAAAGCCAGUGCGUGCGUGCGUGCAUGUGUGUGUACGCAUAAAAUAUCAUGUAUGUGUUAACGGUGUUAGGAAGACAUUCAGGCGUGUGACCCCAAGUGAAAAGCCUGAUCUAGGAACCUAGUGAGAAUUAGUGAGCACAGACCUGUGGGCGUGCUCAGUGGACAUUUGGCAGUCUACAGUUCUCAGUCCAAGGACAGAAUAAAGAGAUCCUCAAUUAUCUUUUGAAAUAAAUGUUAGAGAUAAAAGUGAAAGAGAGGUAGAUGCUCAGGAUAUCCUAGACUUAACCAUGGAAUUUUAGUGAUGAGAAGUCAUCCAAGUCAUUGGUCCCUAAAUUGUACUGUCCUGGAAAAGUCUAGCCUUACUCUGAGAUUUUAUAAAUAUAUAUAUAUAUAUAUAUAUAUAUAUAUAUAUAUACACACACACAUAUAUAUACACACACAUAUAUAUACACACACAUAUAUAUACACACACAUAUAUAUACACACACAUAUAUAUACACACAUAUAUAUAAUCAGAUAUAAUGUAUUUAUACAUAUAUCAGGCUGGCUUCACAAAGAUCUUCCUACCUCUGAGUCCUGAGUGCUGGGAUUAAUGGUGUGUGUUACCAUACCUGGCCUAAUUUAGUCAUUCAUAUGUAAUAUGAAGCACAGAAAAAUCACACAAAUUUUCACAAACGCAACCAAAAGUUGAACAUCAUUGUGUGUCUGUCGUAGCUGAUGAGAACGUUGCAUAGAAACUAAGUUUCUCCUGUUCCUUUACUCUUCUAAGUGAUGUACUUGAUCCAUGUAUGUGUACACGAGGACAUGAGCUCCAUCUCCAGAACCCACCUAAAAAGCCGGCAUUGGUGUGCAGCUAGCUAGCUUAGUCUCAUUAGCACGUCCCAGGUCCUAGUGAGAAACCCUACCUCAAAACACAAGGUGGACAGAAAACCUCAACCUCUGGCCUCCACGUGCACCAGAACACAUGUGCGUGCAUAAUUUCACACAACACACACAUGCAAUAGUCAUAAUAAUUCUUUACUUAAACCAGUAAAUAAUAAUAUUAAAAUGAACAUUUAUCCAUCAUUCAACAUAUUAAAUAUAAUAUCACUGGUAUCGUUAAAACCUCAUGUAGGAGUUGGAGAAAUAGCUUGGCAGUGAAGACCACUUACUGCUCGCGUAAAGGACCUGGAUUCAUUUUUCAGGACGUAUGUGGCAGCUCAUAGCUAUCUAUAGUUCAGGUCUAGCAAUCCAAUGCCCUCUUCUUACCUCCCUGGUCUCCUGCAUAGAAGUGCUCAUACAUGCAUGCAGACACACAAACAUACACAUAAAUAAAAAAAUAAGUAAGUAAAAUAGGAAAACCUCAUGUGGUACUUAACUGUUUCUACACAUUCCCAUCCUUCACCACCACCCAAAUUUUGGGCUUAAAAUUUGCUUGUUUUGCCGGGUGGUGGUGGUGCAUGCCUUUAAUCCCAGCACUUGGGAGGCAGAGGCAGGCAGAUCUCUUGUGAGUUCGAGGCCAGCCUGGGCUACAGAGUGAGUUCCAGGACAGGCUCCAAAGCUACACAGAGAAACCCUGUCUUGAAACCCCCCCCCCAAAAAAAAAAUUGCUUGUUUUUGGGCUAGAGGAGAUGGUUCAGUGGUUAAGAGCACUGACUGUACUUCCAGAGGCCCUGGGUUUGAUUCCCAGCACCACAUGGUAACUCACAACCAUCUGUAACUCCAGUUUGAGGGGACCCAGCACCCUCUUCUGGUCUUUGUGGAUACCAGGCAUACAUGUGGUACACAGACAAUACAUUCAGGCAAAACACCGUACACAUAAAAUAAUUUUAUAAAAUCAUUUUUUAAAUUAAAAACAAUUUUUCUUUUCCUUCACAUCUGUAACUUUAAAAAAAAUUUAUUUAUUUAUUUGGUGUGCAUGUGUGUGUGUGCGUGUGCAUGUGUGUGUGCACGCGCACGUGCACACGUACGUGCACACCUCAAGCUCUAGCACAUAUGUGGAAGCCAGAAGACCUCUUCAGAAUUCACUUCUUUUCUUCCACCAUGAGUGGUCCUGAGAUUGAACUUAGUUCAUUAGGCUUGGUAGUAAGCCCCUCUAACCACUGAACCAUCCCAUAGUCCAUUGUAACUUCUUACUUUUUAAAACUUUCUAAUCUAUAGAAAAACCUGAAAGAAUCCAGUUCUCCUCACAUAGACUCAACUGAUUGUUAAUAUUCUGUACAUUGGCAGUGAGUGUGCCGGCUGAUUUUAUGCCACCUUGACACAGGCUGGAGUCAUUUGGGAAAAGCAAAUCUCAGCUAAGAAAAUGCCCCCAGCAGACUGGCCUAUGGGCAAGGCUGUGGUGCAUUUUCUCAAUUAAUGAUUGAUGUGUGGGCCCAGCUCACAGUGGGCAGGGCCACCCCGCACUGGCAGUCCUGGAUACUGUAAGAAAGCAGGCUGAGUGAGGAAGGAGUAAGCCAGUAAGAGCCAUGGCCUUUGUGCCAGCUCCUGCCUCAAAGAAAGUCCCUGCCCUGCUCGAGUUCCUGUCCUAACUUCCCUCAGUGAUGGACUAUGAUGUGGAACUGUAAGCCGAAAUAAAUUUCCCUUGCAAGUUCUCAAGGUAUUUUUAUCUCAGCAGUGGAAAGUGGUGUGGAAACCCUAACUAAGACAAUGGACAGAUUCUUGUGAUCCAGUCUUAAGUGAAUAAAUAUUAAAUUGUGCGUGUAGUAUAAUUCCAACCAUGCAGUGAAAUAUUGCAAGGGGGAUAAGUAAAGGGUUCAUAAUGAUUUUCAUAGAAAUAAGCAUUAUUUUGUUUUCUAUAUAUUUAUACUUCUCUCCCUAGAAUUUUCUCUGUAGUACAUAUUCUAUGAUGGAAAAAUAAAACUAAGUUGAGAGAGAGAGA